rnacentral:lncRNA from 1 species
AGCGUGUACACACUGCAGUCUGCUGUACUGGAAAUGACUUAUUUAUUCUACGUUCAUUCACAGCUUCUGUUUAUGGCAUAAUACCUUCUGAGAGUAGGCCAUUAUGACAACAAUGCCUCUGUUUCCUCCAGAUUCUUGGCUGUCACUAUCCUGACCUACCACCUGUGUCACAUCCCAUUAGGUUCUGUGGAUGAGGCAUGGUGCUUGGCACAGACUGACACAAGUUUGGGCAAACUUGGCAGAGCAGCCUAACCCAAAGCGAAAAACAGAAAUGAACCAAGAUACAACCUCUGUGGAAAACCCUACUGAACAAAAGCAACUCUGUGGAGUGUCCUCUCAGCUGCAAAUUGAGACAGAAUUGUGGGGCAAGCUUGGCCACUGAUGCAGAUUCUGCAGCUUGCUACACAGAAAGCCAGAGACCGAGAGCCAAUGACUGAGACUAUGAGUAUUGCCAAGGAAGAAGGCUUUAAUCGGGUGCUGCAGCUGAAAAGAUGAGAGCUCAGCCUCAAAUCCAUCUCCCUGACCAACUAAAGCUAAGGAUUUAUAUAGCAGGGAAGAAGACAGGAACUAGGAAGGGGCAAGGAAGCGAUCCUGAUGAAUGAAGGGUCAGGCAUUUCAUUGUCUGGAUGUGGCGAUCUGCUCACACUGGUCACACCUGGGACUUCCAACAUGAAUGCUUUUGUCACGGAUGCUGCGCUGCUGCUGUUUCUGGUUCUUACUCUGCUUACACCAAGGAGACUGAUGUCCCUGCUAUAACCCCACUUCCGAUGCAGACAGCAAUUCCAAUGCAUUGCAGCUUUCAGGAUUUUCUCACUGUGUUUUUGCCUCUCCUUUUCUUUAAGACAUGAGCAUUUGUCUACGGGGAUGGCCUGAAGUGUAGUCUCCAUUACCCAGAGUCAUCUCACUCUCUGACCUUGACUCAUGAUCUGAGAACAAGUGCUCCCCUGCUUGUCUUCCUGAGGGGCAUCUGUCCCUCUUGCAAACAGAUUUCCUUUGGGCUCUGUCAUUUAGAAAUGCCCUUAUUUAUCUGAAUUAUAGUUCCAGUUCAGAACAUUUACAAAGGAACAGAUUGCUCCCAAUUUUAAAGCAGGUAAAUUCUAAAAGUUGGCAAGCCAGUCAUUUAGAAUUUGAGCCUCAUAUUCCAUAGGUAUGAAAUUAUACAUAAUGAAAAAGUUCCCAGGGCAGCCCACAAAAAGCCUACUUAUCCAAAAUAAAGCUAACCUGAGUUAAUUCA